rnacentral:misc_RNA from 1 species
GUAUGUAUAUUAUCAUUAAAGCGUACGAUACAAGUAGUCAUACGCAGUUUUAAAACAAAAAAUUUUAAACACGCUUAUAGUUAUGAUUGCUCAUAACCGGGAAAAUCCCCCAAAAAUGGAUCAUAAUCCCUAAAAAGAAUAUAACGCUCUCUUAUAAUGAUCCUUCCGCAGGUUCACCUACGGAAA